rnacentral:rRNA from 1 species
GACGAACGCUGGCGGCGUGCUUAACACAUGCAAGUCGAACGGAAAGGCCCUGCUUGCCGGGUACUCGAGUAGCGAACGGGUGAGUAACACGUGGGUGAUCUGCCCUGCACUUCGGGAUAAGCCUGGGAAACUGGGUCUAAUACCGGAUAGGAGCCAUUUUUAGUGUGAUGGUUGGAAAGUUUUUUCGGUGUAGGAUGAGCUCGCGGCCUAUCAGCUUGUUGGUGGGGUAAUGGCCUACCAAGGCGGCGACGGGUAGCCGGCCUGAGAGGGUGGACGGCCACAUUGGGACUGAGAUACGGCCCAGACUCCUACGGGAGGCAGCAGUGGGGAAUAUUGCACAAUGGGCGCAAGCCUGAUGCAGCGACGCCGCGUGGGGGAUGACGGCCUUCGGGUUGUAAACUCCUUUCGCUAGGGACGAAGCUUUUUGUGACGGUACCUAGAUAAGAAGCACCGGCUAACUACGUG